UACGAAGGAUUCGAGCGUUAUCCGGAUUUAUUGGGUUUAAAGGGUGCGUAGGUGGAUUAAUAAGUCAGUGGUGAAAGCCCGGAGCUCAACUCUGGAACUGCCAUUGAUACUGUUAGUCUUGAGUACAGUUGAGGUGGGCGGAAUGUGUCAUGUAGCGGUGAAAUGCUUAGAUAUGACACAGAACACCGAUUGCGAAGGCAGCUCACUAAGCUGUAACUGACACUGAGGCACGAAAGUGUGGGUAGCAAACAGGAUUAGAUACCCUGGUAGUCCACACCCUAAACGAUGAUUACUCGUUGUUGGCGAUACACAGUCAGCGACUAAGCGAAAGCAUUAAGUAAUCCACCUGGGGAGUACGGUCGCAAGACUGAA
rnacentral:rRNA from 1 species